UCUCAACUCCAAGUGAUUAGAAUGAGAGAUACACAAGGAUUACAUAAUAUCAAAUGAGGAUUAAACAAGAGCUAUUUCACGUGCCUUAAGAACUCAUGAGAAAUGUCUAUGGUAGUCUCCAUAUCUCUGCUCAAUCUCUCUAAUCUAAUAUAUUAAACAUAAUAAUUAACAAAAGAAAAGAACCGAUAUUUUCUACAAUCCAUAUCUUCGCUCAAUCUCUCUAAUCUAAUAUAUUGCAACCGAGAAUAAUGUGCCACAUGUCACGGCACGCGAGUGCCACACC
rnacentral:lncRNA from 1 species